AAUAAGACCAGGAUAGAGAAGCUUAGAAUCACUGACUCUCAAAAUGAAGGCCAUUCUCAUUGUUUGCCUUCUCUUGACUUCCAUAUUUUUCAUUCCUUCUUCAAAUGCAGCAGAAAGAAAGUGUGAACCAUAUCGACGAUCAUGUCGGUCGAACCCGCCAAAUUUGCCCUUGAAGCCACCAGCUCCGCCUCUGAAGCCACCAACUCCACCAUUGAAGCCACCAACUCCGCCAACGCCAGGUCCACCCUAUAGGAAGCCAACUCCGCCAUCGCCAGGUCCACCCUAUAGGACGAAGCCAACUCCGCCAUCCGGAUGUAGUCGUACCCCAUAUAGACGUUGCGCACCUCCAACCCCUUAACAAAUGAAGCACCACGGUUCAACAAUAAUCAAGCAUUAGGUUGCUUAUUAUCGUGGAGGGCAGUAUUAAUUAAGAAUAAAGUGGGUUUUAAUUAUGCGAUAAUAUCAUAUAUAUGUGGUAUUAUGCACUCCAUGCUAGUGUAUUGUAAAUGUGUCCAAAAUAAAAAGUUGACUAAAGUUUGUCUGUUGACUUAUUUGAGGGACUUUUUGUGCAAAUUCUAAUUAUGCAUCAUCAACAAGAGUUCUGAAAAGGUUCAAGUUAUAUGAAUUAAUUUUCAGUCCACA